rnacentral:rRNA from 1 species
AUUGAACGUUGGCGGCAGGCCUAACACAUGCAAGUCGAACGGUAACAGGAAGAAGCUUGCUUCUUUGCUGACGAGUGGCGGACGGGUGAGUAAUGUCUGGGAAACUGCCUGAUGGAGGGGGAUAACUACUGGAAACGGUAGCUAAUACCGCAUAACGUCGCAAGACCAAAAAGGGGGACCUUCGGGCCUCUUGCCAUCGGAUGUGCCCAGAUGGGAUUAGCUAGUAGGUGGGGUAACGGCUCACCUAGGCGACGAUCCCUACCUGGUCUGAGAGGAUGACCAGCCACACUGGAACUGAGACACGGUCCAGACUCCUACGGGAGGCAGCAGUGGGGAAUAUUGCACAAUGGGCGCAAGCCUGAUGCAGCCAUGCCGCGUGUAUGAAGAAGGCCUUCGGGUUGUAAAGUACUUUCAGCGGGGAGGAAGGGAGUAAAGUUAAUACCUUUGCUCAUUGACGUUACCCGCAGAAGAAGCACCGGCUAACUCCGUG